AGAGUUUGAUCAUGGCUCAGAUUGAACGCUGGCGGAAUGCUUUACACAUGCAAGUCGAACGGCAGCACGGGUGCUUGCACCUGGUGGCGAGUGGCGAACGGGUGAGUAAUACAUCGGAACGUGCCCAAUCGUGGGGGAUAACGUAGCGAAAGUUACGCUAAUACCGCAUACGAUCUACGGAUGAAAGCGGGGGGAUCGCAAGACCUCGCGCGAAUGGAGCGGCCGAUGUCAGAUUAGGUAGUUGGUGGGGUAAAGGCUCACCAAACCGACGAUCUGUAGCUGGUCUGAGAGGACGACCAGCCACACUGGGACUGAGACACGGCCCAGACUCCUACGGGAGGCAGCAGUGGGGAAUUUUGGACAAUGGGCGCAAGCCUGAUCCAGCCAUUCCGCGUGCAGGAUGAAGGCCUUCGGGUUGUAAACUGCUUUUGUACGGAACGAAACGGUUCUCUCUAAUACAGGGGGCUAAUGACGGUACCGUAAGAAUAAGCACCGGCUAACUACGUG
rnacentral:rRNA from 1 species